rnacentral:lncRNA from 1 species
ACCAUGGGUACAUAGGCUAACUAGGGGGUCUCUUACUGGAAGGCCAUGGGCACAUAGGCUCACUAUGACAUCUCUGAUUGGAAGGCCAUGGGUUCGUAGGCUCACUAGGGCAUCUCUGACUGGUAGGCCAUGGGUACGUAGGUUUACUAAGUUGUCUCUGACUGAAAGACCAUAGGUGCGUAGGUCACUCGGAGACUCUGACUGGAAGGCAAUGGGUACAGAAUCUCACUAGCCGCUCUCUGACUGUAGAGGUAUGGGUAUGUAGGCUUACUAAGGGGUCUUUGACUGGAGCCAUGAGUUCCUAGCCUCCCUAGGGGGUCUAUGACUGAAGGCCAUGGAUAUAUAGCCACACUAGAGGGUCUCUGACUGGAAGGCUAUGGAUAUGUAGAAUCAAUAGGCGGUCUCUGACUAAAAGGCCAUGGAUACAUAGGUUCACUAGGGGGUCUCUGACUGAAAGGCCAUGGGUACGUAGGAUAUCUAGGGGGUCUCUGACUGGAAGGCCAUGGGUUCAUAGGCUCACUAGGGGGUCUCUUGCUGGUAGGUCAUGGGUACUCAGGUUCACCAGGGGGUCUCUGACUGAAAGACCAUGGGUACAUAGGCUAACUAGGGGGUCUCUGAUUAGAAAGCCAUGGGCACAUAGGCUCACUAGGGCAUCUCUGAUUGGAAGGCCAUGGUUUCAUAGGCUCACAAGGGCAUCUCUGACUGGUAGGCCAUGGGUACGUAGGCUCACAAGGGCAUCUCUGACUGGUAGGCCAUGGGUACGUAGGUUUACUAAGUUGUCUCUGACUGAAAAACCAUAGGUGCGUAGGUCACUCGGAGACUCUGACUGGAAGGCAAUGGGUACAGAAUCUCACUAGCCGCUCUCUGACUGUAGAGGUAUGGGUAUGUAGGCUUACUAAGGGGUCUUUGACUGGAGCCAUGAGUUCCUAGCCUCCCUAGGGGGUCUAUGACUGAAGGCCAUGGAUAUAUAGCCACACUAGAGGGUCUCUGACUGGAAGGCUAUGGAUAUGUAGAAUCAAUAGGCGGUCUCUGACUAAAAGGCUAUGGGCACAUGGGCUCCCUAGGGGGUCACUGAGUGGAAGGCCAUGGGUAAGUAGGCUCUCUAGGGGGUCUCUGACUGAAAGACCAUGGGGACAUAGGCUCACUAGGAUAUCUCUGAUUGGAAGGCCAUGGGUUUGUAGGCUCACUAGGGCAUCUCUUAUUGGUAGGCCAUGGGUACGAAGGUUUACUAGGGUGUCUCUGGCUGAAAUCCCAUAGGUACGUAGGCUCACUAGGGGGUCUCUGACUUAUAGGCCAUGGCUAUGUAGGCUCACUAGGGGUUGCUUAUUUGAAUCCCAUAUGUACAUAGGCUCACUAGGGGGUCUCUGCUUCAAAGCCCAUGGGUACGUAGGCUCACCAGGGGGUCUCUGAAUUGGGAGGUAUGGG